rnacentral:lncRNA from 1 species
AUAUGUAUAUGCAUUUGUGUGUGUGUGUGUGUGUGUGUGUGUGUCUGUCUGUCUGCCUGUCUCCACUUCUCCACCCACAUUCCGUUAACCAGUUAGUCACAUGGCCCCACUCGGAGGCUAGGGAGAUGGGAAAUAGUCUGUGUACUUACAAAGGCAAAGAAAUGGUUUGAUGAACAUAUAGCAUUGUUUUUACCACAAUAUUAAAAUGAUUCCCUGUUUUUAUCCCUCAAGGCACAGCCUCUGAAAUCAAACUGCUUAGAUUCAAAUCCAGGCUCUACCACAUACUAUCUGAACUCUUUCCAUCAAGUUAUUUCACUCCUCUGGGUCUCAGUUUCCUCAUCUAUAAUAGUCAUAUACUUCAGAAGAUGAUCAUGAAGAAUAAAAGAAUUAACAUUUGCAAAGGCUUAAAACAGUGACUUAUAAAUUAUCAUUAUCAUUCUAUUUAUUCACCUAAUAAUCCAUGAAUUUUUAGAUUUUUUUUUGGGGGGGGCAUACCAGGGAUUGAACUCAGGGGCACUUAACCACUGAGCCACAUCCCCAGCCCUAUUUUGUAUUUUAUUUGAAGACAGGGUCUCACUGAGUUGGUCAGCAUUUUGAUUUUGUGGAGUCUAGCUUUGAACUCAUGAUCCUCCUGCCUCAGCCUCCCAAGCUGCCCAGAUUAUAGGUGUGCUCCACCAUGCCUGGCUUUAUCUUCUGUACUCACAUGAUUAUCUUUCUAGUAUAGCCAGCACUUAGCUUAGUACCCAUCUAUUGCCUUUGAUGAAUGAAUGGGACAAGUAUAUUCCUUCGCUGAUGUUCUAUUGUUCUUUUUAUAUUGCAUUACUUUUGUAGAAUAAGACUAAUAUAUUUAAUAUAUUUAUAUGGAAUGAAAUGCCAGGAGUUUCUUUUAAAAUACUUGAGAAAAAAUGUUGGGGGAAGUAGAUAAAAAAGAUUGGAAAAAUGUUGAUCUUGUUCUGUUUCUAUUGCGUUGACGGUUGUUCAAGUUGAUGAUAAAUACAUGGCAACUCAGGGGCUGGGGUCGGGGCUGAGCAGUAGAGCACUUGCCUAGCACGUGCGAGGCCCUGGGUUCGAUCCUCAGCACCACAUAAAAAUAAAUAAAUAAAAUAAAGGUUUAAAAAAAAAAAGAGAGAAAUAUUUUAAAAAAACAUGAAGGCUCAUAUUCUUUCUCUUCUAUAUAUUUGAGGACAUACACAGUAAAGUCUUUUGAAAACAAGACUGGGCAUGGGUAGUCAAUUAAAAGCUUAGAUCUUUUUUCUUUCCUAAUGAACAACAUUUCAUACAUAUCUACUCAGUGUUUCAGAUUUUAAAACAUUUUUGUAAUUUCUAGUGUUUAAAGCUAACAUAAAAAAGAAGACUAUAAGGAAACUUCAAUUAUAACUGCUAUGAAAGAGAUAAAGAUAUCAGAUAGUUUAACACUUUGGGUUUUAGGCAUGGAAAAGAAUGUUUCCAACGAACUCUUAAAAAACGUACCCAAAUUUAUAAUCUGUUUUCUAACUGCUAAAAUGCAACAUCUUAUAAAUAAGUGAUUCCUAAUGGGGGAAUAAAGGAAGAAGAAAAGGAGGGGCACUGUUAGAAAGGAGAAGGAGCCAGGCUUAGGGGCACACACCUGUAAUCCCUGUAAGUGGACUUCCCCCUGUAAAACCUGUAAGCGGCUCAGGAGGCUGAGGCAGGAGGGUCAAAAGUUCAAAGCCAGCCUCAGCAACUUAGCAAGGCUCUAAGCAACUCAGUGAGACCCUGUCUCUAAAUAAAAUAUUUUAAAAAGGGCUGGGGAUGUAGCUCAGUGGUUAAACCCCCAGGUUCAAUCCCUGGUACCAAAAAAAAAAAAGAGAGAGAGAGAGAGAGAGAGAAAAGGAGCCCAUUUAGGGCACAAUUAUAUUCUCUCUGAAAAAAUGAAAAUCUCAUCUUACCUUGUUCCAUCUUUGUUAGGGAAGCGACCCCCCUCAGUCUGGCAAGGAGUAAAACUGCCAUGGAUAGAUGCUGAAAGUAAACAACAAGAUGGGAGGGGCAUCAGUGAGGUGGCUCUGGUUCCCAUGUCACCAUGUCUUGUGGAGAGAUGCAGCAGACCCCCAUGGAGACCACAUGCACAGGAGUUGCACCACAGCUAAGGAGCCAAGGCCAAGGGCUGCAUAUCUUCAUUCGCAUCUGAGCGAAACAAGGCUGUUUUGGUACACACUGGGAAGGAGCAGGGUGUGAUGCAUGGCAGACAGUUCUGCGUUGUGAGGGUGUCAGGAGUGGCUGAAUAGUCCUGCUGGUGUGAGGGUAUUCAGAAUGAGGAUGGGGAUGCAGCAGGGUCUUCUUACCAACUGCAGCUGCUGCCUGACUCAAGGGACAGGGUGUCUUAUGCUGCUGCAGGGCUGGAUCUAGGGGGAAAAGAAAGCAUUAAAUACUCCCCUUCUCCAACUCCCACACCUCUUAGGGACUAAAGUAGUCCUUCCUUCCUCAGAUGCCCAGGUUCUUGUUCUUUCCAUAGCCACAUAGUCCCUUUGUUUUACGUCACUGGCCACUAUUUCUCCUCCCUUCACAAGGGCCUCUGCCACCUGCACCCACAUGGGUGAUGACUAACUGAGCACUGUGUUAGAACUUGAAC